rnacentral:lncRNA from 1 species
ACAUAUAAGCUUAGGAAGUAAUUCCGCAAUUUCGGUAAGCAGAGGUGAAAAAGGUUCACAGUCUACAAGGUGAAAAUGGUGGAAUUUGGAGUAAUUGAGGGGCUAAAGUGCAAAUUUGGCCUUCUCUGUGAAGAAGAGGUGAAAAAGGUUCACAGGGGUCGAACUCUAGCUAUACUAUUAUGAGUAUUGGAGCCCUCGUACUCAUAAGUUGUUUUCGAUGUUGGAGCUACCGAAUCGACGAUCCACUCCGUUAAAUAUGAUCUAGAGUAUUUGAAACUUCUAGAAAAUAAAUUUUGUAAAUUUUCGAAAUCAUAACAAAGUCCAUCAAGUGGGCAUAAAAUGAACGGUCGAAAUCGAACGACGUCCUUAAAAAGGAUGAUCGGAUUCUUCAAUUCAAGAUCAGAGUUAUUGAUCUUUAUCUAUGUAGUGAAUAGAAUUUGCUAUUAAAAAUUCAAUAAAUUCUGAUUCUUUUACACCGUUAAACUAGCAAGUAUCCCAAACCGGCCGUUAAAAAUUGUCAAAUUUGUGAUCUCUUGAUCGUAAGAUAAAUGAUGAAGAAAAAUUAUGAAAUUUAAUUUCUAGAAGUUUUAAAUGCUGUAAAUAACGUUUAACGGUGUGGAUCGUCGAUUCGGAAGCUCUAUAAUCAAAAACAACUUAUGAGUACGAGGACGAUCGUACUCAUAAUAGUACAGUAGCCGGACCCUAUAUAUAUAUAUAUAUAUAUAUAGAGAGAGAGAGAGAGAGAGAGAGAGAGAGAGAGAGAGAGAGAGAGAGUGGGCUGGUAUGCUUAUGGAAGCACGUAGGCCUCCGUGCUUCUAAGUUGUUUUCGAUGCUUGGACUUUCGAAUCGACGAUCGGCUCCGUUAGAGUUGAUCUAGAGUAUUUGAAGUACCUAGAAAAUAAAUUUUGCGAUUUUUCAAUAUCAUUUGCCUAGUGAUCAAAGGGGCUCAAAAUCAAUAAUUUUAACGGCCGUGGUGAGCCGGUUGCAAGUUUAACGGUGUAGAAAUAUCCAAAUCACAUGAAAUUUUGAUAGAAAAUUCUUUAUACCAUAUAAAUCAAGAUCAAUAACUUUGAUCUAAAAUUUUAAUAUCAUAUCAUCAUAUUUUGUAAGAUUUUUAUUUUCAGCCGUUGAUUUUGAGCCACUUCGAUCACUAGGCAAAUGAUAUCGAAAAAUCGCAAAAUUUAUUUUCUAGAUACUUCAAAUACUCUAGAUCAAACUCUAACGGAGCGAUCGCUGAUCGAAAGUCCGAACAUCGAAAAUAAAAGUGAACAGCGGAGCCCUCUGUGCUUCCAUAUCAUUUGCUAGUGAUCGGAAUCGAGUUCAAAAUAACAAAUUUCCAUGACGUAGUGAGCCGUUUGCAAGUUUAACGGUGUAGAAAUAUUCAAAUCACGUGAAAUUUUAAUAAAAAAUUCUUUAUACUAUAUAAAACAAGAUCAAUAUCUUUGAUUUAAAAUUUUAAUAUCAUAUUGCUACAUUUUGUAAGAUUUUUAUUUUCAACCGUUGAUUUUGAGCCCCUUCGUUCACUAGGCAAAUGAUAUCGUAAAAUCAUAAAAUUUAUUUUCUAGGUACUUCAAAUGCUUUAGAUUAAGUUUAACGGAGCCGAUCGACGAUUCGAAAGUCGCAACAUCGAAAACGAGCUCGAAGCACGGAAGGCUCCGUGCUUCCGAUAGCAUAGUAGCCUCACUCAUAUAUAUAUAUAUAUAUCGAGUCCGGCUACUAUACUUUUAUGAGUAUUGGCUCCCUUAUACUCAUAAGUUUUUUGCCCAUAGAUUUAUUCCAUUAAUCAUUUCCACCCGUUGGAUCAUACUAUUCAACCAACUAUCCAUUAACCCUAGGGGAUCACUAUCAUUCUAAGUGGGGACCAUCAUCAUCCUAACCACACAUCCCAUUAAUCAAUGGUUAAAAAUUUAUGAGUAUAAUGGGGUCUAUACUCAUAAGAGUAUAGUAGCCCCAGCCUAUAUAUAUCUAUAUAUGUACUUUCCCAUCCUUUUCUUUUGCGCUCUCUCUCUCUCUCUCUCUCUAUAUAAU